rnacentral:rRNA from 1 species
UCGCACUUUCUGGAAACAGAGAGGUCAGUUCGGCUGGAUCGGUGACAGGUGCUGCAUGGCUGUCGUCAGCUCGUGUCGUGAGAUGUUGGGUUAAGUCCCGCAACGAGCGCAACCCUCGUCCUUAGUUGCCAGCAUUAAGUUGGGCACUCUAAGGAGACUGCCGGUGUUAAACCGGAGGAAGGCGGGGAUGACGUCAAGUCCUCAUGGCCCUUAUGUCCAGGGCUACACACGUGCUACAAUGGCCGGUACAAAGGGUAGCAAGACCGCGAGGUGGAGCCAAUCCCAAAAAGCCGGUCUCAGUUCGGAUUGGAGUCUGCAACUCGACUCCAUGAAGUUGGAAUCGCUAGUAAUCGUGGAUCAGCAUGCCACGGUGAAUACGUUCCCGGGCCUU